rnacentral:lncRNA from 1 species
AUGCCCAGUGAGAAUAGUGAGCAGGAUAAAUCGACACAAGAAGAAAAGAAUCAAGUGGCAGUGGACACUAAGGAUGAAAAGAGGAAGAAAAUAGAGCAGGAGGAUGACAAUGCGAUACACACAAAAACAGAUGUUCAGCCAGACAGACCUCAUCAUGGCCUAUAUAAUCAGGGAGCCACAUGUUACCUCAACAGUGUCCUGCAAGUUCUCUUUAUGACGACUGAGUCCCAUGACAGGUUCGAACCACAAUCACAAACAGAUCGUCGAUUGAGAAAAAUCUUUGAAGACAUGAAGAAGAAAACAUGUAAAACAAAAAAAGUCACUGCAACAUUGGGCAUUGAAAACGGUAAGCUGGGCAGUAUUGAGAAACUUCAAUGA